AAUCAACGCUGGCGGCGUGCCUCAGACAUGCAAGUCGAACGCGAAAGUUUCCUUCGGGAGAUGAGUAGAGUGGCGCACGGGUGAGUAACACGUAGGUAAUUUGCCUUUGGGUGGGGAAUACCAACCGGAAACGGUUGUUAAUACCGCAUAAUGCAGCGGCAUCAUAAGAUGACAGUUGUUAAAGCGGGGGAUUCGUAAGAACCUCGCGCCUAAAGAGGAGCCUGCGGCGGAUUAGGUAGNGGUGAGGUAAUGGCUCACCAAGCCUGCGAUCCGUAACCGACCUGAGAGGGUGGUCGGUCACACUGACACUGACAUACGGGUCAGACUCCUACGGGAGGCAGCAGUCGGGAAUUUUGGGC
rnacentral:rRNA from 1 species